rnacentral:lncRNA from 1 species
GGAAUAUGUAUCAUCACAUUUUCAAUCAUGAAUAAUAAACAUUUGCUUUUGCCAGCCUGGCAUCAUUUCCUUCUUCUUCUGGCAAUGCCACUUCCAUUAUCCUAUGGAAAAUCACUCCUUCCUCACUCUCAAUGCACAUAGUUUGGAAAUGGGAUGGGGUGGGGUGGGGUGGAAAAAUAACUUUAACAUUAAUCCCAGACAUGGCAAAACUAUGUAUGCAAAGAUUGAACAUAUUCUAAGACAAAUGACAAAAUAUAUAAUAGGAAGAUAUUUGCAACUAAAGUAACAAAUAAAGAGCCAGUUUUCCUAAAAUAUAAAGCACUUCCACAAAUUAAUUAAAAAAAGAAGGACACUAACCCAAUUGGAAUAAUCAGACAAAGAAUAUGAAUUAGGAGGUCACAAAAAGGGAAAUAUAAAUAAUACUUUAAUA